rnacentral:lncRNA from 8 species
UUUGUUUAUUCUGUUUAAGUGUUCUCUCAUAAUAAAAGAAGAUGAGCACUCAACACACUGCGCCUUGGUCCAAUCCUUUCGACGCAUGUGACAGAACCACCCACCACCGAAGGACCAAGCAGCGUGGAAGGGAGCAACAGGAGAAGUACUUGGAGUCGUGGACGUGGGAGGAGAUAUUAGACGGGAAAGGACCCUGGAGGCAGGCUGGGGAGUAUCGCCGACCGAAGGAGGAACUUGAGGCAGCGAAGGCAGAGCGGCGUUACUAUGAGGUGCUGCAUAAGCCAAGAGGCAAGUGCGAGAGGCAGCUCCCCCCCAAAAAUGGGGGGGGGGCACACGGGGAGUUGGGCAGAGUCAGGGUGGAGUCCUGAGCCAACUCCCCAUGCUUACCGCGGGGAGCGGGUGACGAGGAAAGCACCGAGCUAUGCGAAAAUGCGCACUGUAUCACCCAUAUGCACGCACAGUCCGGUGCGGUCAGUACGGGCUCCUCAGCGUUGCCGUGCGAGAGUUGGCCGGCAGCCAGGGAGAAGUGCGCCGGCACAACUUAUCUGGUCUCCAGUGCGUCUCCUCGGCCCAGCUUACCCUGCGCCUGCUCUACGCACGGCAGCCCUCAUUCUCCAGCACAGCCCAGUUCGCCCUGUGCCAGCGCUCCACCCGUGCCGGGCUACAGUGACCAUUCAGCCGGGACGGGGUGUGCCAGCCAUGAGCUCCAGACCUCCAGUGCGCCUCCACGGCCCAGUGUGCCCCGUGCCUGCUCUGCGCACCCAGUCUCCUGUAAGUCUCCCCAGUCCGGGGAGACCGGUCCCAGCUCCAUGCAGGAGGCCUCCAGUGAUGCUCCUCAGCCCGGAGCCGCCAGAGACGCUCCUCAGCCCGGAGCCUCCAGCAACGCUCCUCGCAGCCUGGGGCCUCCAGCAAUGGUCUGCAGUCCAGAGCCUCCAGCGGGGGUCGGCAGCACAGAACGGGGGCUACGCCCGGAGCCAGAGCCACCUCCGUGGCUGAAGUAUUGGCGAAG